CUGUCAGCAGCCAGAGGGGCAGGAGCUCCCAAAGUAAAGAUGCAAGAAGCAGCUUCACUGCAGAGCUAAGAAGUUCAGUGCUUGCAGUACAACUCAGAGAUGGUGUGGUAUAUUUGUUUAAUAUGAAGUUUUUGAGGAUGACCAUGUUUUCACAAAAGCCUGUGGCAGAACACCUCAGCCUGGACACUCCGUUGCUGACCUCAGGCUUCAAAUGUGGAACUCCUACUUAGCUGUGUCAUACUGGUGAGAAUUGUGCUGAGAUUCAAGGUGACCAAAACUGGAUGCAAGAAACAGAAUUUUUGAAAUCUUAGACCCAAAUACUUACAUUCUCUUUCAGUUGUGCACCACUAAGUACCAUUUCUAAGCUGUAGAAGACUUUUAGAAUGGAUCCCUGGACAUUUGAAAUCACUGGAUUCUAAGGGACAGAUUCUACUGUCAAAUACACAUUCUGAAAAUUA